ACCUGCUUAGUUGCAUGGACAUGUAUUGAGAGAAGCUAAGUAUGAUUGAGUCUUUCCCACGUAUAGGGCCAGCCCACUGAGGUGAACAGGAAUCCCGCAUGGGUGCCCCACCACCACUGGAGAAGUGAGAAGAAGCAGCAGUGGCAGCUUCAGAAGAGAUCCCAUGGAAGCAGUGGCUUUGCAGCGGAAGGAGAUGGCACUGUGGCCCAUCCCUGCCCACAUAUAUGGACCAAUGCUCUAAAACAGAAGUAGGUGAUAGCAUCAUUUGACAUUUUAUAUAAGCACUGCAUUGUAUGUUUUUUGCCCUCAGGGAAUCAUAGAAUCAGAGCAUUGUAGAAUUGGGAGGGAUAGUCCAAUAAGCAGUUGUCCCAUACGGGGAUCAAACCUGCAAACUUGGCAUUAUCAGCACCCUGUUCUAACCAACUAAGCUAUCCGGGCGUGCUAUAUAAAGUGCUAUUUGUGUAAGAAACUAAACAGUAAACAACUAGGGGAGUUGUUAGGAGGUGGCCCAGGGGGCAUGAGACAUGGGUUGUUUGCACUGGGCCUUAGGUCCCCUGUCCUUUCUCUCCCUUUUUAGACCAUUUAAACUUUAUUUUGCUGGCUGGGGACGGUGGGAAUUGUAGUCCAAAACAUCUGUAAGGCACAAGGUGGACAAAGGCUGUUACAGGAGCAAGAACCUUGUACAACUUGGGCCCCAUGUCCCAAGGAAGCCUGACCUGCAGAAUUUUUUGUUAUGGGGUUGGUGUCUUCACUUUCCCCCUCUUUCUUUCUUUCUUUCUUUGCAAAAUCUGCUUCUUCUUCUUCUUUUUAAAGGAAGCCUUGGUACAUUGAGACUAUGCACAUGUGAAGUAUGCAAUGAUUAAAAAUUAGGAACAUAAGAAGGUGUCUUAUACAGAGUCUAUCUAGCUCAGUACUGUCUACACAGACUGGCAGCAGCUCUCCAGGGCUUCAGGCAAGCUUCUCUCUCAUCACUACCUGAAGGCGCCACAGAUUGAACCUGGGACCUUCUGCAUGUAAGGCAAAUGCUCCUAGUACUGAGCUACAGCCUUUCCCCACUGUGUCACUAAUCUAUUGCAAUUCACAUCACAAACCCGCCCCAGGUCCUUGGGCUAAGAGGAAGAUUCCAUUUCUCUCCUUGCACCCUGCCAAUUUUGGUUGUUCUGGUAUAACAAUUGUUUGUCCUGCAGUACUGCAGAUCAGGAUGCAUGGGAAAAGAUGGUUCUAAUCAUCACUUUUCACAGUAGAAUUAGUUGCUCUGCCACAAGAUGAAUGGGUAGAGUUCUUUGGCUGCAGUCUUAUGCUCACAUAGACACUGAACACAGUGGAAUGUAGUGCUGAAUAAAUGUACAUAGACUCAGACUGCGUGUUUCACCUUUGUUUGAGAAAACACUGGCACCCUUCACAUGCUUUAAGGGGCUGUACGCAAUUACUGUGGAGCAGGACGUCAAUGCUGUGCUUGCCCCAGCAUCACCCUUGUCACUGGAUUGAACUCUGUGACGUACAACUAUGUGUACUCACUUGCCCGUUCAUAGGCACCUCUUUGAAGGCAUCCAUGCUCGGUGCAUGGACAUGGAGGGGGCAGGACCAGGUGUGCACGAGAUGCUGAGGGUGGGUCCCGUGACAUGGCUCCACCGCCCCCCCCAGUAAUCAUUCCCAUGCAUAUAGUGUGUGAACAGGGAAAUCAUUUCAACUAUGUUUUUGCUCUGGGCAGUGGCGUAGCGUGGGUUGUCAGCACCCGGGGCAAGGCAAGUAAUUUGCGCCCCCUAACCCGUGGAUUUGCGCCCCCUAACCCUAUCCCCCAGAAGUUGCGCCCGGUGCGGCCGGCCCCCCCUGGACCCCCCACGCUACGCCACUGGCUCUGGGUCCUCCCCUAUUUCUCCUAGAUUUCUGAUGCUAAUUUGUUUUGGUUCUGAAGGUCAACUGUCUUUCCUAAGAAGGAUAGCAAAUAAUAUUUCUUUCUUGGUGCCAUGCCAAGAGGCAUUUUUAUGAGCAUGUUGUUGUUUAGUUGUUUAGUCGUGUCCGACUCUUCGUGGCCCCAUGGACCAGAGCACGCCAGGCACUCCUGUCUUCCACUGCCUCCAGCAGUUUGGUCAAACUCAUGUUAGUAGCUUCGAGAACACUGUCCUUGUGCCCUCAAUCUUUCCCAACAUCAGGGUCUUUUCCAGGGAGUCUUCUCUUCUCAUGAGGUGGCCAAAGUACUGGAGCCUCAGCUUCAGGAUCUGUCCUUCCAGUGAGCACUCAGGGCUGAUUUCCUUCAGAAUGGAUAGGUUUGAUCUUCUUGCAGUCCAUGGGACUCUCAAGAGUCUCCUCCAACACCAUAAUUCAAAAGCAUCAAUUCUUCGGCGAUCAGCCUUCGUUAUGGUCCAGCUCUCACUUCCAUACAUCACUACUGGGAAAACCAUAGCUUUAACUAUACGGACCUUUGUCGGCAAGAUGAUGUCUCUGCUUUUUGAGGUGCUGUCUAGGUUUGUCAUCACUUUUCUCCCAAGAAGCAGGCGUCUUUUAAUUUCAUGACUGCUGUCACCAUCUGAGCAUCGCUGCAGGUAAUAAACAAGAAUUAGCUUAUUAUGCUUAAUCCUAACUAGUGCUUUUGCACUGUGCUCACCACCAAAUUGCAGCUGUUUUGCUGGAGAUUUAUAGGGCAUAUGAAUGGACACAAAAAUGAUGAAUACCACUAAACACAGAAGACUGCAUCUCAAGCCAGGAGCUUGUUUUCUCUAGGUAAUGACCUAUAACAGAUCGAUACAUUCCUGGCACUAUAUAAACACUCUAUCUUGUGCAUUUCAGAAUCCUCAAGAUUUAUUCUAAUCUAGUAUAUUUUCAUGUCUACCUUAAAUUGCUUCUUAAGCCCUGGAUGAAUUAAAACUCAAAUGUUCACUUAUGCUCAGUAUCCUUUGCACUGAUGCAUCCUGCUACAGUGGUACCUCGAGUUACAAACGCCUCAGGUUACAAACGCUUCAGGUUACAAACUUUCCUAACCUGGAAGAGUUACCUCAAGUUGAGAACUUUGCCCCAGGAUGAGAAUGGAAAUCGUGUGCUGGUGGCGCAGCGGCAGCAAGAGGCCCCAUUAGUGAAAGCACGCCUCUAGUUAAGAACAGUUUCAGGUUAAGAACGGACCUCCGGAACGAAUUAAGUUCGUAACUAGAGGUACCACUGUAUUUUGACUCACUCAUGUGUUGGAUUCACUUCCCUUGCCAUCAUUGUUUAAAAGUUCCUUUAUUUUCCAUCAAUCCCAGUCUACAAAUAAGGACUACAACAGAGCCAAUGCAGUGUAAUGCCUAGAGCAAGGUCAGUAUCUGGAGGAAAAGUAACCACAUUUGCUACUCCUAGAAUAGUGUAAGGUUAGGAGCAGGGGAAGCCAGAUUCAAAUGCCCCACUCUGCCAUGGGGCACUCAUGCCACUCUCUCUCCUAACCUACCUCACAGGGUUGUUGUGAGAAUGAGAUGUGGAGAAGAACCUUAGACGCUGCCCUGAGAUCCUUGGUGAAUUUAUUUUUAAUACUGUUUUUAAUGCUGUAACCUACCCUGAUACCCUAGGCUGAAGGGCAGAUAAUAAAUAAAUAUACAUUUUAAAAGAGAAAGUGGGUACGACUAUAAUUAAUAGCAGCAACUCAUCCCAUUUCUUAGGUGCAGAACUCAUGAUCUUCAGGCAAUUUCAUUUAAAGCCUCUGUACUAGCAGGUCUGAAACAUGUUUCUACGUGCUGCUUCUUAGAGUUGAGAGGAGUAAUACCAUUUAGCAUUUACACGGAACUUUAGAGCCCAUAUGAAAUUACUUUAUAGUGAGUCAGAACAUUUGUCCACAUAGGCUGCUCUUAUCUUGCAGACCAUUUCCAAGUCUUAACUGGAGAUGCCAGGGACCGAACUUGAGAUCUCAUAUAUUUAAGACAUGCACUCUAGCAUUGGCCUGUGGACUUUCUCUGUUGCUCUUACUUACAGCAAAGUGUGCCAGUAUUGCUGUUAGCUAUGUGAUGGGUGUGACGUGGGUGAGGCUGAGAAGUGAGGCACUGGAGGCCACCAGCAUCUCAAAGGAGGCUUCUUCUCAUAAAGAGCAGCAAAGUGGAUAUAAUGGCAAGGUUAAUCCAAUAUUUAUUUGUGCAAAUAAACAGGAUUCAUCUAGUUUUUUUUAUUUCUGCAGACAAACACAUGUUUAGGACUUAAUGUAGUUUUCACUUUCGAACAAACUUCAUAUUCCAUAAAACAUGUAAGGAAGCUGCAACUGUCCAGCUCAGUUCUAAGGUAACCCUUAGUGCUAAGCAAAAUGCCCAGUUCUGCUUUCUUAUAGAAAUGACACUGGACUGACUAUGCCUGCUAUAUUCAUUCCACAGACCAACCAGCUUCCCCCCUUCUUUGUUCUGAGAUCACAGGUUUAUGUAAUUUAUGAAAUCUAAGACUGAGCAAUGCACUUGUCCAAGGGAGAGGAUGUAAAAUCCCAUCCCACUGUGGAUAGUGCCUGCUGUUCCAUUGAUUUUCAUAAGGGUUGUUUAUUCAUAAGCUCUGUGUUUAAAGAAGACUGUGGUGCAUGAAUGAAUGAAUGUCACUGGAUGUUCCUGUCUUGAAUAUUCACAGGGAAGUUUAUGGAAAGCAAUACUUUUGAUCACAUCACACCACCUUUUGAUGAUCCCAUGAUGGGCACGUGUUGAAGAAUUCAGAGAAAUGUGAAGCCCCCUACAAUUUCAGCAUGGAAAGCUCACUCAAUCAAAGUGUUCACCAGCGAAAUGGAUCAAGGUCGCUAACCUUCCCUACAGCUAAAAAACAAAGUAGGAAUAGUUGUGUCUUUGUGUGGAGAGGACUUCAUCUAUUUUUCCUUUCUGUACCUAUGCCAUCUCUUUUCAGGACGAUCCUACAACAACUUUGGAAAUGUUCCUUCAGCUCUACAGUUUACCAUUUAACACUUCACAAUUUCUUCCCAUACUCUUUUUAUACAACAUGAUUCUAUGAUAACAAUUCCCUCCUUUCCAUCACCCAUUUUGGUCCUCUGCUUUACCUCUUUUAUAGAAGUGGCUUUAUUUCUGCCAUUCUGUCAUUUAGUUGAGUGACAAAUUUUGCCGGAAACAAAUAGCAAUAGUGAGUUGAAAAAGCAGAAGGUUGUCCUGGCUCCCACCCAGACUAUGACAACAGAGGCUUUUACUUGAGAGUAAGGAAGAUAGCUAUCUUAAUGGAGGCAGUGAAGAGAUACAGGCUCAAUAACAGAUAAGAGUCACAACUGCUGCUAUGCUCAGGCUGGAUUCCAGAAAAGGUGAAACUAGCCAGUCAAGAAGUAGCAGCUCAAGUCCAAGAAGUCCAAGGUCAGGGCAAGGAGCUCAGAGCUGCACAGAAGCAUCUGAGUUGUCCCAAUGGAUGGGCACACCAAGUUUCUCCAUCUACUCAUCACCAGAGCGCCACCUGCUUUUGACAGCCCCAGGUACCUCCAAGUGGACCCAAUCCAACCAGGGGCAAUUCAGGGCUGCCUCAACUCAAUCCAGCUGAAUCCCAUGUCAAUAUGAAUCAGUCCAAUUCAGUUUGGGGUCUGGGAUCUGUUUAGCAAUCCUAUAAACCAAUAAUGAAGCCAUAACACUGCCAAAUGAGCAUGGUCAAACAUUAAGGGACAACAGUGGAGGAAAUUUCUCCCACACAGACAUCUCUCAGCCCAACAACAAGAGAGAGGUAGAAGCAGGAUUACUAGACCGUAAGUGGACAGAACAUUCCCAUCAGCUUCCACAGGAUGCAAAGCUUACAUUGGCUUCAAUAAAGGACCUGCAUCCUUCUGUUUGAGAGUACAUUAGACACUUGAGGAUACAUUUUACAAUGUUACAAUAAUUACCCCAAGUCAAUUAUUGUCGUUUUUAACCAUAGCAAUUUGUCAAUCCAGCCAGAAAAAAUAUUCUGAUGUUUCAGUUACACUCUUAUCAGUACUCAAGCGAAAGUUAAAUGUUAAUUUCCUUUUACUGCUGUUUUCUCUCCCAUAAAGCCAACAAAGUCUCAUGAUUACAUUAUUUGAGUAGAAAGCAAAGCAGGUGCUGAUAGGAGUAAGGAAUGGCAUUUCUUCAAACCAUAAAUCUCCUAGCAAUUGUUCACUACAGGCUUGGAUGUUAGUUAAUUUUCUUAAGCGCUAUAGUAAAUGAACUUUGUUCCCCUGCAAGGCUGAACUUUUUCUAUAGCUUAGCUACUCAGCAGAACUACUGGGAAGUAGCCCAUUACCGCAGAUGGAAAAGUGAGGUAGAGGGAUAAUAUUAUAGAAUCAUGCAUGGGUAUGUGCUUCCACUCUGGAUAUCACAAGGUCAUUAAUUCUUCUGAUAUGGAAUUAAUUAUAUUUUUGGCCUCAGGUGUUAAGGGAGGAAACAGGUGAUGAUGACACCACCACCAUUCAUACACUACAGGGAACACAAUGUUUCUGUGUCCCAAAAAUUGAAGUAUAGAACAGAUGGGGGGCGGGUAGUGUGAUUGUGAGGCAGACAAAUGCAAACCUGUGCUGUCUAAAUGUAUUGUAAAUAUGAGAGAAUCAUACCUGCAGAUCCCAUAUGAGGAGCUCCCUCAGCUUCCAUAUGCCCUAAAGCACUGGCUCUGAGCAAUUACAUAAUGCAAAAUGAAUGUGUCUCUUUUCAUCUCUUAGAUGCAGGAGAACUCCAUGGGAUGGCUGGUACUGAAGUGGAAAAUCUCUCUACAGAGCUGGAGGGGCAAUUUGAAGAGCUCUUUGAUCUGUGAAUAUACUUACAAGGGUCAGAAAAGGGUUGCAGAAAGGAACUGACUGGCCCUGAUUUGACACAUUCCACAGCCACGGGCCAUCAGAAGAGCAUGAGUUCUGUUAGGCAUGAAGAACUGAGCAGCAGCAGAACUUCAGUCCUUUCUCUGUUGGCAGGAAAGGACUGAAUUAAAUUGGUUAAGAUCCUUACCCAUAAAUCUUGACUGCCAUGGACUGAUUGAACGCAGAGGAAUCAUGGAGAGAAUCAGCUGGGGAAUCACCAAGGAAAGACUGCUCAGAACCUGGGGAGUGGUGGUGGGAUGACAAUGAGCAGUCAUAGGGAGAAGACUGGAAAGAGGUGUCAGAAGCUGAAAAGGUAACAGGGCUUAGUGAGCUGGGACAAUCUGUGGCAGGGAGAAGUCAAGAAUCAGAGGCAGAAGCUGGCGAGUAUGAGGAGAGAGGCCAAGAAGCAGAGAUGAGUCAGGCUGGUGAAGAGUCACGGGUGUCUCCCUUCCUUCUGUGACAAGCUCCCCUCCCCCAUCUCCCAGAACCAGGAGAGGCAUGAAAAGCGUAGAGAAGAGAUUGCUUGGGGGAAACCAUGGAGAGGAGGAGACAUAGACCGCUGUGGGGAGGUGGAGACCUUUGGACUCGGCAACUGAUUUCAUGGAGUAAGACCACUGGGAAUGAGCUGCUGUGCUCAUUAGGCCUGACACUCAGCCAAGUCUGUGG